rnacentral:rRNA from 1 species
CCCUUAGAUGUCCUGGGCCGCACGCGCGUUACACUGAUGCAUUCAACGAGCUUAUAACCUUGGCCGAGAGGCCUGGGCAAUCUUGUUAACGUGCAUCGUGAUAGGGAUAGAUUAUUGAAAUUAUUAAUCUUGAACGAGGAAUUCCUAGUAAGCGCGAGUCAUCAGCUCGCGUUGACUACGUCCCUGCCCUUUGUACACACCGCCCGUCGCUCCUACCGAUUGAAUGGUCCGGUGAAGUGUUCGGAUCGCGCCGACGUGGGCGGUUCGCCGCCGGCGACGUCGCGAGAAGUCCACUGAACCUUAUCAUUUAGAGGAAGGAGAAGUCGUAACA